CCCCUUGUAGCUCAGUUGGUAGAGCAGCUCCCUUUUAAGGAGACGGUCGCAGGUUCAAUUCCUGCCGAGGGGA
rnacentral:tRNA from 1 species